AUGAACGCUAGCGGCAGGCCUAACACAUGCAAGUCGAGGGAGAAGCCUUUCGGGGCAGAAACCGGCGCACGGGUGCGUAACGCGUAUGCAACCUACCUUUCACAGGGGGAUAGCCCGAAGAAAUUUGGAUUAAUACCCCAUAAUAUUGUUGGAUGGCAUCAUCUGAUAAUUAAAACUGCGGUGGUGAAAGAUGGGCAUGCGUCCUAUUAGCUAGUUGGAGUGGUAACGGCACCCCAAGGCUACGAUAGGUAGGGGUCCUGGGAGGGGGAUCCCCCACAUGGGAACGGGAAAAGGGGCCAAAACCCACAGGGAGGAAGCAGUGGGGAAUAUUGGGCAAGGGUGGGAAGACAAAACCAGCAAUCCGGGGUGAGGAAAGAAGGCCUUUGGGGUUGGAACUUGGUUUUAUAGGGGAAGAAAAAGGGUUACGUGUAAUUUGAUGAGGGAACCAUUUAAAAAAGAACGGGCUAACUCCGG
rnacentral:rRNA from 1 species